GCUUGCUUUCUUUGCUGGCGACCGGCGCACGGGUGAGUAACACGUAUCCAACCUACCCUUUACUCGGGGAUAGCCUUUCGAAAGAAAGAUUAAUACCCGAUAGCAUAAUGAUUCCGCAUGGUUUCAUUAUUAAAGGAUUCCGGUAAAGGAUGGGGAUGCGUUCCAUUAGGUUGUUGGUGGGGUAACGGCCCACCAAGCCUUCGAUGGAUAGGGGUUCUGAGAGGAGGUCCCCCACAUUGGAACUGAGACACGGUCCAAACUCCUACGGGAGGCAGCAUG
rnacentral:rRNA from 1 species